GUGUUUGUGUGUGUGCGUGUGUGUGUGUCUCUGUGUAUGUGUGUGAGAGAGAGUGUGUGUUUGUGCGUGUGUGUGUGUGCGUGUGUGUGUGUGUGCGUGUGUGUGAAAGGAUCAGAGCCGAUGGAUGCCUGCCGCCUCGGCCUCAGUAAAGGGAACGUGAACGAGAUCUGAAGAGACAGAAUUGAUCCCCAAUCCCGGGAUGUGCCCUCUGGCAGAGAGAAGGUCAUGAAACUAGUGAACUGUCAGCCUGAGCACUUCAGGCUUCGGUGAAAAGAGUCGGAACAGAGUUCAGUGCCGGACUCCCCGCAGAGGGCAGCCAGGUUGGCGUUUCUGCCUCAGCAUCCCCGGCCAGCCGUGCAGCAGGGAGCCAGUGAUCCAGGGCUGUGUCAGCGGUCCGAAAGCCGGGUCCCUCCUGACGCGGGCUCACUGCCGUGCAAUAAAUCGGUCCGCCCGCCGGCCAGCCAAGCAGGCAAGAAAGAGAAGCAAUCCACUUCAGCAGGGCUCAGCAACUCUCCUCGAUUCUCUCACUCACCUACAUACUGGGGGCUUUGCAAUGACCACCUAACGUGCCAAAUGCAAGCCCUUGUUAUCUGGGAGGAAGCCAGGACAGGCACAAACGCCACAGGGAGCAGUCCUGAUGAAAGGUCCUGGCCUUUAUUCAUUUCCAUGGACACUACCUCGCCUGCUGAGUUUGUGUGUGUUGCUCUGGAUGUCCAUCAUCUGCUGAAUCCCUAGUGUGCUGUCUGGAAUAGGGUGGCACGGCAGCAUGGUGGUUCGCACAGUGCUUUACAGUACUAUCGACCCAGUAUCAAUUCCCGCUACUGUCUGUAAGGAGUUUGUACGAUCUCCCCCGUAACUGCGUGGGUUUCCUCCGGGUGCUCUGGUUUCCUCCCCACAGUCCAAAGAUGUACCAGGUGGUAGGUUAAUUGGUCGUUGUAAAUUGUCCGGUGAGUUAAGUUCGGUGAUCGCUGGGCGGUGCGGUUCAAAUGGCUGGAAGGGCCUAUUCCGUGCUGUAUCUCAACGAAUAAAUAAACAAUCAGUUUUCUUUUGCUCUCUACUUGCUGGCUUAUAUAUAUGCUUCGGCUGAGAAUUAAUUCACACAUCCUGCUCCAGGCUGUGUGUGCCUCAGUGAAGAUUUUUCAGCAGUUGAUACGCAGUUUUUUGCCCUGUUUACAUGAGGUGCCAAAUCCCGUGUGUAUGAUGCCUAGCUGAGAUGGCUUUCAGCAAGCAGAAAGUCUGUGGGCAAGCGUAAGAGUGAAGUUGGAACUGUUUGUUCACUGACGAGACCAUAUGUUCCACUUUCAUGUGUCAAGAAUUUCAACAAGGAUGCAUGGUAACCUGCCUCAGUACUAUCACAGUAGAAGCACGCACAACAAGACUGUUCUGCUCACCCAGCCUGUUCCAGUUCUUUGAGUGAUUAGCCUCAAAUCCCUGUCCUUUCUCCAGAGCCUGCAGACCUGUCCUUGUCCAAUUCUCCACCGAAGUUAUUGCUACUUUGAUGUUCUGAUGGACUGGUCAGAGUACCAUCAAGUGGGCAAGUUUACCCAGACUGAAUAGCUGUGGUCGCCAUAGCAAAAUCAGAUUCAGGUUUAUGAUCGCUGAUAUACUCUUACACCAUGAAAUUUGCAACAGCAGUACAGUGCAAGAUAAAAAAAACUCUACGUUCCAAUAAAAAUAAAUCAACCAAGCAAUCAAUAAAUAAAUAAAUAGUGUGAAAGAGAGUAUUCAUUGAUUCAUGGGCUGUUCAGAAAUCUGACGGCAGAGGGGAGACAACAAUCUGUAGGAGUCUGUGGUGUAAACCCUAUGUCCAAUGUGAAGUGAUGUUAUUGACUGGAAUUAAUGGCAUUUUAGUGUUUUGGAAAUCUAAGUGAUUCAGAGAUUCAGUCAUGCUUCAAGAAGUAAUAAUUGUUUAAAACUUAUUUUAAAACAAAGUAAAUGUUUUGGUCAAAAUAAAAGUUCGGCAAAUAAACUCUCUCUUGAUGCAAAACCCAUUAGAUGAAGCACAUAAGUUGGUGCAAGGUACAUAAUUGACACUGCAGGCAACAGGUAUAAACAUGAAUUUUAUUUUUGUUACUACGUUACUCUCCCAUGAAUAUAUUUUGAAAUCAGUGGAACUAUUCAUCCUUCACCAGUCCCUAAUUUGCAUCGCUCUGACUUGGUUAAUUAGAGCAUGUGGGUUGAAUUGGCAAAGGCUUUGAACAAGGCAUUGGAAGUGAAUGAAACUUGGAGUUGAAUACAUUCAACCGCAUCUCGUUAGUUGUUUCCUGUAAUUACAAGUAGAACUUGUAUUUUUAAUUAGUUGUUUCAUAUAAACUCUCAAAGCUCAGAGCACUCCAUGUAAAAUUAAUUGCUUCUGCAGAACUGGUGUGGAAAUUUCUUGGUGCUUGUUUUAUAAGUGCAAAAUAGGCAUCUUAUUAUCCAACAUGAUCGUUGUUACAUUUAACAAUCAUUAUGGCCUUGACUUUUAAUAGCCUCCCUUCUCACUAAUAGCCAGGACAUAAUCUUCUCGAAUGGAGAAGGUUCAAAGGUCACAAUGGCAGAUGGUGGCUGAUCUUCUGCAGUGAAGAGUGACAGUGACCUGCUUCUGAGGGCACAGAGACGGAGAUGGUAUUGGUGUUGGUAUAGCAACUGGUACUGGAAUUGUGAUUAGUUUAUUAGUAACACAUGU